CCCUUAGAUGUUCUGGGCAGCACGCGCGCUACACUGACGGAGGCAGCGAGCAUGUCCUUCGCCGAGAGGUGUGGGGAAUCUUGUGAGUCUCCGUCGUGCUGGGGAUAGAUGGUUGCAAUUGUCGAUCUUGAACGAGGAAUUCCUAGUAAGCGCGAGUCAUCAGCUCGCGCUGAUUACGUCCCUGCCCUUUGUACACACCGCCCGUCGCUACUACCGAUUGGAUGGCUUAGCGAGAAUUUUGGAUCGGAGCCCGGGUGGUCGGCAACGGUCGCCCGGGAGAUCUGAGAAAUCAUUCCAGCUUGGUCAUCUAGAGGAAGUAAAAGUCGUAACA
rnacentral:rRNA from 1 species